rnacentral:rRNA from 1 species
GGACAACCUACCCUGAGGUCGGGGAUAAACCCGGGAAACUGGGUAUAAUACCCGAUAGAUCUAGAUUGCUGGAAUGCUUUUAGGUCUAAAGUUCCGACGCCUCAGGAUGGGUCUGCGGCCUAUCAGGGUAGUAGUGGGUGUAAAGUACCUACUAGCCUACGACGGGUACGGGUUGUGAGAGCAAGAGCCCGGAGAUGGAUUCUGAGACUCGAAUCCAGGCCCUACGGGGUGCAGCAGGCGCGAAACCUUUACAAUGCUGGCAACAGCGAUAAGGGGACCUCGAGUGCUACGAUACAAUCGUGGCUGUCUAGUUGCCUAAAAAGCAAUUGAUAGCAAGGGCCGGGCAAGACCGGUGCCAGCCGCCGCGGUAACACCGGCGGCUCGAGUGGUAACCGCUAUUAUUGGGUCUAAAGGGUCUGUAGCCGGCUUAGUUAGUCUCUUGAGAAAUCUGGCCGCUCAACGGUCAGGCGUUCAGGGGAUACUGCUAAAGCUCGAGACCGGGAGAGGUGAGAGGUACUUCAGGGGUAGGGGUGAAAUCUUGUAAUCCUUGAAGGACCACCAGUGGCGAAGGCGUCUCAGCAGAACGGAUCUGACGGCAAGGGACGAAAGCUAGGGGCACGAACCGGAUUAGAUACCCGGGUAGUCCUAGCCGUAAACGAUACUCGCUAGGUGCCGGCCACGGUGCGACCGUGGUCGGUGCCGUAGGGAAGCCGUGAAGCGAGCCACCUGGGAAGUACGGCCGCAAGGCUGAAACU